rnacentral:rRNA from 1 species
UACGUAGGGCGCAAGCGUUGUCCGGAAUUAUUGGGCGUAAAGAGCUCGUAGGCGGCUUGUCACGUCGGGUGUGAAAGCCCGGGGCUUAACCCCGGGUCUGCAUUUGAUACGGGCUAGCUAGAGUGUGGUAGGGGAGAUCGGAAUUCCUGGUGUAGCGGUGAAAUGCGCAGAUAUCAGGAGGAACACCGGUGGCGAAGGCGGAUCUCUGGGCCAUUACUGACGCUGAGAAGCGAAAGCAUGGGGAGCGAACAGG